GUGCUGGAGGGAGGGUGAAUAACUAGAGUAAGAGCAGAGCACCAGAGACGGGAGACGAAAAAGUCGAGAACGAGAGGAAAGGAGAAAGUAAAUAGGAGUAAAAGAAGUGUAUUUUGAGAUUCAACACCUUGGUUUCCUUUCAUUUUUGGGAGGAUAUUGUAUUCAUCUGCUGUCCGUGUUGCUGGAUUCUGUUUUAUUUCAUUUUUGAACGAGGAUUUGGCCAGGUUUUUUAGUUGGGAUCGCCGGUGUGUGAAAACACCUGGAGCUGUGGAAAGAAGAUAGCGAGCCAUCCAUAGGAGAGAGAGAGUCGGAGCAGAGAAUCACCUAUUCUGCAAACUCGCCUGCACACCGUGGACAAAGACACUGAUUCUGACACUGGGAUCGUGGUAGAACAAAACUGACAGGUUUUGCAGCAACACACAGUGAAUUUCAUAUGGACUGAUAAAGGACAUAACCGAAAGACUGGUAAUACACCAAACUGUGGAAAUUUGAGUUAUUGUUUACAUUGAUCUGUGAGCUCUGAGAUUGAGUUGUAUUUUUUAUUUUAUUGAACUGUUGUUUUUUUUUCUUCUUUUAUUUAUUCACUUUUUCCUCGUGUGCCAAAUUGGUAUUACAUGAAUGGGUCGUGUAAAAGUGAAUUAAAGCAUAAAUAGAGUUGAUUAAUCAAACUAAAGAGAAAGUAGAAAAAAUAGAACUAAAACCCAUAAAUAGGCCUAAACUGAGAUAAAAUGAGAACUUAAACUGAGUAAACUUAAAGGAGAUACCAGUAACUAAACAACCAAUAAGAAACCUAGAUAUAAAAUUAUAUGCCAACUCAAAUAGGUUGGGUUAAACAUAAAGGAGAUAAAUAGGCAUAAAUAACCUUAUUUUCCUGAGAUUUUGGUUUCAUUUUGAAUUUUUGAAGGGAUAUUGAACAAUUUAUCUUUGCAUGUGUGUAUGUGAGAUAUUUGGUACCAACAUAUGAUCAUUGUUUCUUCUAAUAAUUCUCUAUAUAAAUAAUCUGGCAGUUAAAAAUCA